GAACACUUGAUGCUAGUUGAGCUGUCAGUCUCCUAACCUUGAUAAUAGGCUUGUGAUAUCUAGGUUUUAUGCAAUAUUAAAACAUAAGUCAUGAGUGUUUGAAGCCCAGCUUGUAAAGGCCCAGUGAGUUAUAACUCACAGGCAUAAAA